rnacentral:rRNA from 1 species
UACGUAGGGGCCUAGCGUUGUCCGGAUUUAUUGGGCGUAAAGAGCUCGUAGGCGGCUUGGUAAGUCAGGUGUGAAAUCUCCACGCUCAACGUGGAGGGGCCACCCGAAACUGCCAUGGCUUGAGUCCGGUAGGGGAGUGUGGAAUUCCCGGUGUAGCGGUGAAAUGCGCAGAUAUCGGGAGGAACACCUAUUGCGAAGGCAGCUCGCUGGGACGUUACUGACGCUGAGACGCGAAAGCGUGGGGAGCAAACAGG